rnacentral:rRNA from 1 species
UGGGGAAUUUUGGACAAUGGGCGAAAGCCUGAUCCAGCAAUGCCGCGUGUGUGAAGAAGGCCUUCGGGUUGUAAAGCACUUUCAGCGAGGAGGAAGGUGGUGAACUUAAUACGUUCAUCAAUUGACGUUACUCGCAGAAGAAGCACCGGCUAACUCCGUGCCAGCAGCCGCGGUAAUACGGAGGGUGCAAGCGUUAAUCGGAAUUACUGGGCGUAAAGCGCACGCAGGCGGUUUGUUAAGUCAGAUGUGAAAUCCCCGGGCUCAACCUGGGAACUGCAUUUGAAACUGGCAAGCUAGAGUCUCGUAGAGGGGGGUAGAAUUCCAGGUGUAGCGGUGAAAUGCGUAGAGAUCUGGAGGAAUACCGGUGGCGAAGGCGGCCCCCUGGACGAAGACUGACGCUCAGGUGCGAAAGGCGUGGGGGAGCAAAACAGGAUUAGAUACCCUGGUAGUCCACGCUGUAAAACGAUGUCGAUUUUGGAGGUUGUGCCCUUGAGGCGUGGNUUCCGGAGCUAACGCGUUAAAGUCGACCGCCUGGGGGAGUACGGCC